AUUAAAAGCAUCAGAAAAUUCACCAACACAAAAUUUUCUUGAAUGCUCUCUUUCUAUGUAAACAUUAUGCAAUAUAUUAUGGAAUAAAGCCUUUCUUCUGUUUUUUGAAGGGUGCUGCUUUCAGGACAUCUUUCCUAUAGGGAAUAUUUAUGCCUUCAAGAGGCAGAGAAAUAAUUCUCAAGAAUGGCACCAGAAUUCAAGUCCGAACGCCCUACCACAGUGGCAGUCCAACUAAACUCCAAACUCUGCUAGUUAAUGUCAACUAUGUAAUGAAGGUGGCCACACCGCUAAUGUCAUCUGCUCAAAGUCUCUCAAUAACAUUGAAGCUAAAUCCAACUAUGCUGCUGGCUUCACUGCCGCCACCAACCCUUGGAUAGUCGACUGAGGCGCCACCCAACACAGCACAACGUAGCCAGACAACCUACAACAAUACUAUGGUAAUGAGGAUGUCUUAAAUGGUGAUGAAUCUAAAAACACAGAAAUCGCUGGUGCACGGGCGAACGAACAAUGGAAUGUAUGAUGGCCUGUCUCAUAUCCCCAAGCUCACAUGACUUCCACAUCUACUCCUCUCACUACUUGGCAUCAACAUCGUGGUCAUCCUUACUCUAGGGUUAUUAGGUUUAUUUUAAAUAAAUUCUCGCUAUUGUUUUAUGAGUUACACAAACUCUUUUAUCGUAAUUCUUACUUAUCUAAUAAAUUUCAUCGGCAUCCUUUUACCCAAUUAUCUUUGUGUAGCUCUAAGCCGCUUCAAAUUAUUUUUAUUGAAUUAUGGUGGGC